rnacentral:rRNA from 1 species
AUCCUGGCUCAGGAUGAACGCUGGCGGCGUGCCUAAUACAUGCAAGUCGAGCGAAUGGAUUAAGAGCUUGCUCUUAUGAAGUUAGCGGCGGACGGGUGAGUAACACGUGGGUAACCUGCCCAUAAGACUGGGAUAACUCCGGGAAACCGGGGCUAAUACCGGAUAACAUUUUGAACCGCAUGGUUCGAAAUUGAAAGGCGGCUUCGGCUGUCACUUAUGGAUGGACCCGCGUCGCAUUAGCUAGUUGGUGAGGUAACGGCUCACCAAGGCAACGAUGCGUAGCCGACCUGAGAGGGUGAUCGGCCACACUGGGACUGAGACACGGCCCAGACUCCUACGGGAGGCAGCAGUAGGGAAUCUUCCGCAAUGGACGAAAGUCUGACGGAGCAACGCCGCGUGAGUGAUGAAGGCUUUCGGGUCGUAAAACUCUGUUGUUAGGGAAGAACAAGUGCUAGUUGAAUAAGCUGGCACCUUGACGGUACCUAACCAGAAAGCC